GUAGUUAGCGCAGUACUGGUUGUUCUUCACCCCUGCGUCAGCAUCCGCAAUAAAAAACGGGUGUUUUAUGAGUGUGGGGAGAAAAUAGGGAUUGUAAAGAAUGCUAAAGCUACUAUGGUGGCUACAAAACUUUUGGAGAAAUGCUCUUUUACCAUUGCCACGAAGUACAAGUUUUCACCCAGGAUGAUACAGACGGGUGCCCGAAAAUUGUGCAUCGUAUUCCGCUUAUGCUAUCAUAAGUACCAGCCCGUUCUAAACACAAGUGGUUACAACGCAUACAGUGAAGCUGUUUAUCCCUGCGUCGCAAAAAUGGCCCCUUUGUUAAUAGUGAAGCUGA